rnacentral:misc_RNA from 1 species
UGAUGUCAGUGACUAGUGCCCUACGCUCUGUGUGGGGAAGCCAAGAACCUGCAGCAACGCCCUUGCGUACGGCUGCGGGAUCUUGGUAUCAGCGGACAGGUCUGAGCUGGCGCUGUGCUGGAGAGCCUUGUCCUCGUGAUAGCGCUUGGACUAACUCACUACGAAUCGUGUCGGCGGUUCGACAGUUAUACGCCGCCACUCGAUGUUGUCGUGACUGUGCUGCGCUGCGGUGUUGUUGAACGUAAUCCUAGACCCAUCCUGCGCUGUAUGCCGUGGGGUUAUCGUGGGCUGAACGACGCCGGACGGUGCUCGUAGUCCCGGCUCCUUGGCGUGGCUUGAGUGCAACAGAGGUCGUGUGAACCCUUAGUUGUGUGCAUGCGUACGCAUGCCGACGUGCUUGUCGUAGAAUGGCACGCUUUUCUUCAACCAUACCCAUUUGUUGCCGUGCAGCGUAUCCUCAACCCCACUAGACACCCCUCUGCCCCGUCACAGGCCUCCACCACCGCGUGUGGGGCGAAGCAGCGCUUCACACGCGCGCUACAAAAAUGCCAACACAGCCAUUUCAGAACGGCCUGCGCCUCAAACUCCGCCCACCACCCCGCGCUGCGCAGGUCGCCUCACAGCCGCUUCCCUCACCAGUGGGCCGUGUGAGGGCCCGGGGCGAGACAGUCGUUCAAGUGCCGUGGGCACCCUGCCCAUCACGUGGAUGGGCACAGACCUGUUCACAGUCGCAGGUCGCCCCGACGCCACGCCGUCCAGGGCACGGCCGCCCACAUCAGCAGGGAUGCAUCGCACUCGCCUCCCCCCCUACGUCGUAGGCACCUGACCCGGUCACCACCUCAAGUGGUUCGGCAUUUGGCAGGGAUAUAGGAGGGCUGCUUUGGCCUCCUCCACCCACACAGAGGGUGCGGGGCCGCUGGGCCCUGAGAUGCCACGCGCGGAGGUGUGUCUCCCUCCUCUGUCAUGAGGUCUUUCGCGAACGCCGAGUACACUCAAAGCCGUCAAAGCCGCUUCUCACCACUUCGCUUUUUUUUUUUCGCACACCAUCUUCGCCCCCGCCUCCUCCUCUCUCUGUCUGUUGCUUGUGUGGCCGUGCAUCACAAACCUGUGCUUCAACUUGCCGUCGUCUUAUUUCC